GAUGAACGCUGGCGGCGUGCCUAAUACAUGCAAGUCGAGCGAACAGACGAGGAGCUUGCUCCUCUGACGUUAGCGGCGGACGGGUGAGUAACACGUGGAUAACCUACCUAUAAGACUGGGAUAACUUCGGGAAACCGGAGCUAAUACCGGAUAAUAUAUUGAACCGCAUGGUUCAAUAGUGAAAGACGGUUUUGCUGUCACUUAUAGAUGGAUCCGCGCCGCAUUAGCUAGUUGGUAAGGUAACGGCUUACCAAGGCGACGAUGCGUAGCCGACCUGAGAGGGUGAUCGGCCACACUGGACCUGAGACACGGUCCAGACUCCUACGGGAGGCAGCAGUAGGGAAUCUUCCGCAAAGGGCGAAAGCCUGACGGAGCAACGCCGCGUGAGUGAUGAAGGUCUUCGGAUCGUAAAACUCCGUUAUUAGGGAAGAACAAAUGUGUAAGUAACUAUGCACGUCUUGACGGUACCUAAUCAGAAAGCCACGGCUAACUACGUG
rnacentral:rRNA from 1 species